AUUGAACGCUGGCGGAAUGCUUUACACAUGCAAGUCGAACGGCAGCACGGGGGCAACCCUGGUGGCGAGUGGCGAACGGGUGAGUAAUACAUCGGAACGUGCCCAUGUCGUGGGGGAUAACGUAGCGAAAGCUACGCUAAUACCGCAUACGAUCUACGGAUGAAAGCGGGGGAUCGCAAGACCUCGCGCGAUUGGAGCGGCCGAUGGCAGAUUAGGUAGUUGGUGGGGUAAAGGCUCACCAAGCCUGCGAUCUGUAGCUGGUCGGAGAGGACGACCAGCCAAACUGGGACUGAGACACGGCCCAGACUCCUACGGGAGGCAGCAGUGGGGAAUUUUGGACAAUGGGCGCAAGCCUGAUCCAGCCAUUCCGCGUGCAGGAUGAAGGCCCUCGGGUUGUAAACUGCUUUUGUACGGAACGAAACGGCCUUUUCUAAUACAAGAGGCUAAUGACGGUACCGUAAGAAUAAGCACCGGCUAACUACGUGCCAGCCGCCGCGGUAAAAC
rnacentral:rRNA from 1 species